rnacentral:rRNA from 1 species
UGCUUAACACAUGCAAGUCGAACGAUGAUCUCCAAGCUUGCUUGGGGGGAUUAGUGGCGAACGGGUGAGUAACACGUGAGUAAUCUGCCCUUCACUUCGGGAUAAGCCUUGGAAACGGGGUCUAAUACCGGAUGUUCACUUUCUGCCGCAUGGUGGGGGGUGGAAAGAUUUUUUUCGGUGAGGGAUGGGCUCGCGGCCUAUCAGCUUGUUGGUGGGGUAAUGGCCUACCAAGGCGGCGACGGGUAGCCGGCCUGAGAGGGUGACCGGUCACACUGGGACUGAGACACGGCCCAGACUCCUACGGGAGGCAGCAGUGGGGAAUAUUGCACAAUGGGCGCAAGCCUGAUGCAGCGACGCCGCGUGAGGGAUGACGGCCUUCGGGUUGUAAACCUCUUUCAGUAGGGAAGAAGCCUCAUUUUUGGGGUGACGGUACUUGCAGAAGAAGCACCGGCUAACUACGUGCCAGCAGCCGCGGUAAUACGUAGGGUGCAAGCGUUGUCCGGAAUUAUUGGGCGUAAAGAGCUCGUAGGUGGUUUGUCGCGUCUGCUGUGAAAUCUAGCCGCUUAACGGUUAGCGUGCAGUGGGUACGGGCAGACUAGAGUGCAGUAGGGGAGUCUGGAAUUCCUGGUGUAGCGGUGAAAUGCGCAGAUAUCAGGAGGAACACCGGUGGCGAAGGCGGGACUCUGGGCUGUUACUGACGCUGAGGAGCGAAAGCAUGGGGAGCGAACAGGAUUAGAUACCCUGGUAGUCCAUGCCGUAAACGUUGGGCACUAGGUGUGGGCCGCAUUCCACGUGGUCUGUGCCGCAGCUAACGCAUUAAGUGCCCCGCCUGGGGAGUACGGCCGCAAGGCUAAAACUCAAAGGAAUUGACGGGGGCCCGCACAAGCGGCGGAGCAUGCGGAUUAAUUCGACGCAACGCGAAGAACCUUACCAAGGCUUGACAUACACCGGAAGACUGCAGAGAUGUAGUUGCCCUUUGUGGCUGGUGUACAGGUGGUGCAUGGUUGUCGUCAGCUCGUGUCGUGAGAUGUUGGGUUAAGUCCCGCAACGAGCGCAACCCUCGUUCUAUGUUGCCAGCACGUGAUGGUGGGAACUCAUAGGAGACUGCCGGGGUCAACUCGGAGGAAGGUGGGGAUGACGUCAAAUCAUCAUGCCCUUUAUGUCUUGGGCUUCACGCAUGCUACAAUGGCCGGUACAAAGGGUGGCGAUACCGUGAGGUGGAGCGAAUCCCAGAAAGCCGGUCUCAGUUCGGAUCGUAGUCUGCAACUCGACUACGUGAAGUCGGAGUCGCUAGUAAUCGCAGAUCAGCAAUGCUGCGGUGAAUACGUUCCCGGGCCUUGUACACACCGCCCGUCAAGUCACGAAAGUCGGUAACACCCGAAGCCGGUGGCCCAACC